GCGGGGCAGAGGAUGAAUUUAUUGUCAAAUGGGUAAUUUGCGACUGAUACUUCGUUGUGAUGCUAAACUCACCUUGGAGAACUGAUGCCCAUC